rnacentral:rRNA from 1 species
GGUUCGAUUAUGGCUCAGAUUGAACGCUGGCGGGAUGUUUACACAUGCAAGUCGAACGGCAGCACGGACUUCGGUCUGGUGGCGAGUGGCGAACGGGUGAGUAAUGUAUCGGAACGUGCCUGAAAGUAGCGGGGGAUAACUACGCGAAAGCGUAGCUAAUACCGCAUACGCCCUUCGAAGGAAAGCAGGGGACCUUCCGGGCCUCCGCACUAUUGAAACGGCCGAUAUCGGAUUAGCUAGUUGGUGGGGUAACGGCUCGCAAGGCGACGAUCCGUAGCGCUGGUUGAGAGGACGACCAGCCGCACUGGGACUGAGACGGCCCAGACUCCUACGGGAGGCAGCAGUGGGAAUUUUGGACAAUGGGAAACCCUGAUCCAGCCAUCCCGCGUGUGCGAUGAAGGCCUUCGGGUUGUAAAGCACUUUGGCAGGAAAGAAACGGCACGGGAUAUUACCCGUGCAGCUGACAAUACCUGCAGAAUAAGCACCGGCUAACUGCGUGCCAGCAGCCGCGCUUGCCGUGUGCACGUAGGGUGCAAGCGUUAAUCGAAUUACUGGGCGUAAAGCGUGCGCCGGGCGGUUCGGAAAGAAAGAUGUGAAAUCCCGGAAACAACUUUGGAACUGCAUUUUUUAACUACCGAGCUAGAGUGUGUCAGAGGAGGUGGAAUUCCGCGAUAAUAGCCCAGUGAAAUGCGUAGAUAUGCGGAGGAACACCGAUAGCGGCUGACCUCCUGGGAUAACACUGACGCUCAUGCACAGCGUGAGAACAGAGCAAGUUAGAUACCCUGGUGAUCCACGCCCUAAACGAUGUCAACUAGCUGUUGGGGCCUUCGGGCCUUGGUAGCGCAGCUAACGCGUGAAGUUGACCGCCUGGGAGUACGGUGCAAGAUUAAAACUCAAAGGAAUUGACGGGGACCCGCACAAGCGGUGGAUGAUGUGGAUUAAUUCGAUGCAACGCGAAAACCGCACCUACCGCUUGACAUGUCUGGAAUCCCGAAGAGAUUUGCAGGAGUGCUCGCAAGAGAACCGGAACACAGGUGCUGCAUGGCUGUCGUCAGCUCGUGUCGUGAGAUGUUGGGUUAAGUCCCGCAACGAGCGCAACCCUUGUCAUUAGUUGCUACGAAGGGCACUCUAAUGGGGCUGCCAUUGGAAACCGGAGGAAGGUGGGGAUGACGUCGAAGUCCUCCUUAGCCCUUAUGGUGAGGCUUCACACGUCAUACAAUGGUCAGGACGGUGCGCCAACCCGCGAGGCCAAUCCAAAACCCGAUCGUAGUCCGGAUCGCAGUCUGCGAAAACUCGACUGCGUGAAGUCAGAAUCGCUAGUAAUCGCGGAUCAGCAUGUCGCAGUGAAUACGUUCGGGUCUUGUACACACCGCCCGUCACACCAUGGGAGUGGGUUUCAGAAGUAGUUAGCCUAACCGUAAGGGAGGCGAUUACCACGAUGAGAUUCAUGACUGGGGUGAAGUCGUAACGAUAG